rnacentral:rRNA from 1 species
GGUAUCCGACCGUGCUAAGGUAGCAUAAUCAUUUGCCUUUUAAUUGGAGGCUAGUAUGAAUGGGAAGACGUAGAUUCAGCUGUUUCUAUAUUAUAAAUAAAACUUAAACUUUAGGUGAAGAUGCCUAAAUUUUAUAGAAAGACAAGAAGACCCUAUAGAGUUUUAGUUAAACCUACUAAUCUAUUGUAAUAUAACUUUGGUUGGGGCGACCUAGGAUUUUCAUAAACAUCCUACUAACUUACGAUAUUUUAUUCUUAUAAAUUGACCCUAUAACGGAUUAUCAGAAAUAACUACCUUAGGGAUAACAGGCUUAUCUUCCUAGAGAGCUCUUAUUGAUAGGAUGGUUUGGCACCUCG